rnacentral:rRNA from 1 species
CCUACGGGAGGCAGCAGUAGGGAAUAUUGCUCAAUGGGGGAAACCCUGACGCAGCAACGCCGCGUGGAGGAUGAAGGUUUUCGGAUUGUAAACUCCUUUUGUUAGAGAAGAUAAUGACGGUAUCUAACGAAAAAGCACCGGCUAACUCCGUGCCAGCAGCCGCGGUAAUACGGAGGGUGCAAGCGUUACUCGGAAUCACUGGGCGUAAAGAGAGCGUAGGCGGGAUAGCAAGUCAGAUGUGAAAUCCUAUGGCUUAACCAUAGAACUGCAUUUGAAACUGUUAUUCUAGAGUAUGGGAGAGGUAGGUGGAAGUCUUGGUGUAGGGGUAAAAUCCGUAGAGAUCAAGAGGAAUACUCAUUGCGAAGGCGACCUGCUAGAACAUAACUGACGCUGAUGCGCGAAAGCGUGGGGAGCAAACAGGAUUAGAUACCCCUGUAGUC